UGCGGGGGGGGCAAGCGUUGUUCGGAAUUACUGGGCGUAAAGCGUGCGCAGGCGGCGCCGCAAGUCGAGUGUGAAAUCCCCGAGCUUAACUUGGGAAUUGCGCUCGAAACUACGGUGCUGGAGUGUGGCAGAGGGAGGUGGAAUUCCACGUGUAGCGGUGAAAUGCGUAGAUAUCUGGAGGAACACCGGUGGCGAAGGCGGCGUUCUGGACUGCAACUGACACUGAUGAACGAAAGCCAGGGGAGCAAACGGG
rnacentral:rRNA from 1 species